AGCACUCUACCAACUGAGCUAUCUCCCCAGCCCUUGCAAUAGCUAUUUAUGUGCUGCUAAUAUCUACGAAAUGCUGCCCAGCCCUCUGCAGGUGGAAAGGUCUCUUCAUGAGCAACAAAAUAAAAUCCAAACGAGUCCAACAGAAAUUUUGGUACACCGCAUGGCACCAAGUGGUGAGAUAGCUGUUUACACAGCUGUGACAUCAGAGGCUGCACCUGAAAUUGGAAAGCCAUUGGCCAGAUAGAUUACAGCAGUCACCAAGCCCCAGGGACCCUAUAAAGGAUGUUGAUUGAUGAAUACAAUGGCUCCAGUUCCCACAAUAGCCUCAAAUCCAUGAGACCGAGUCUUGAGUCUUGAGCCAACACACCCAUUUUUCAUUGCUUCAAAAUUUUUAUAGGAUUUGAAAUAUACACAGGAAAUGUAACCGGGUUUAUCUAGAUGAAAUGUCACAGGAAUCCCAAAGACGAGCAGAGAUUUCAUCAAAGGUUGCUCAAGACUUCUACCCUCUUUUUUUUUUUUUUUUCUUGCAGCCACAGAAUUCAGGUUCCAUAGAGCCUAGAACCUCUGUUGGCCAGCACUCUCUCCUCUUCCCCAUCCAACCAGCCCGUAUGUCCUAUGUCCUAAGCAGAAUUAUGUUUGAGGCCUCUCACAUUUCUGAGCACUACAAGCAGUUUGGUCCUUUGUUAUGUUCCAUUUGUGAAGCAUAGAAAAUAGGGAGGCAUUGGGUUUUUAACUGAGAAGCAAGAGAAUUAGAGUCACACUUCUUUUAAAAGUGGCUUUGGCAACAGUGUGGAAAUAUAUAGGAAUCAGGAGAAAGGAGAGUUAGAAAUGGAAUUUUUCUAACAAUUGUUCCAGCAAGAACUGAACAUACACACACACACACACACACACACACAGAGAGAGAGAGAGAGAAUUAACUAGAGCUGAACCUAGAG